rnacentral:rRNA from 1 species
UACGGAGGGUGCAAGCGUUAUCCGGAUUCACUGGGCGUAAAGCGCGCGCAGGCGGUUCUUCAAGUCAGUGGUGAAAGCCCGGAGCUCAACUCCGGAACUGCCAUUGAAACUGUAGGACUUGAGGAUGAGAGAGGUGAGUGGAAUUCCCAGUGUAGAGGUGAAAUUCGUAGAUAUUCGGAAGAACACCAGUGGCGAAGGCGACUCGCUGGACAAGUAUUGACGCUGAGGUGCGAAAGCGUGGGGAGCAAACAGG